UGAAGCUAGAACUACAGAAUACCUUUCCUUUAAGAAGGGUGAAAUAUUUUAAAUAAUUAACAAUACUGAAGGAGACUGGUGGGUAGCAAUUGCUACCAGAAAGAAUGGUUAUAUCCCUAGCAAUUAUGAAGCACCUGCAGAUUCCAUUCAGGCAGAAGAACUGUAGUUUGGCAAAAUGGGGAGAAAAGAUGCCAAAAGAUUACUUCUGAAUCCUGGGAAUCAGCAAGGUAUAUUCUUAGUAAGAGAAAGUGAAACUACUAAAGGUGCUUAUUCCCUCUCAACUCGUGAUUGGGAUGAGGUAAGGGGUAAAGCAUUACAAAAUCAGGAAACUUGACAAUGGUGAAUUCUACAUCACAACCAGAGCUUGGUUUGAUACUCUGCAGAAACUGAUGAAGCAUUACACAGAACAUACUGAUGGAUUAUGCCACAAAUUAACAAUUGUGUGUCAGACUGUGAAAUCCCAGACUCAAGGUCUAGCAAAAGAUGUUUGGGAAAUCCCUUGAGAGUCUUUGCAACUAGAGGUUAAACUAGGUCGAGGAUGCUUUGGUGAAGUGUGGAUGGAAACAUGAAAUGGAAGUACAAAAGUAUAAAGCCAGGUACACUGAUGCCAGAAGCAUUCCUUCAAGAAGCACAGAUAAACUUGUUCAACUCUAUGCAGUUUGUUUCUGAAGAGCCAAUUUAUAUUGUCAUUGAGUUUAUGUCAUAUUCUUGUAGGAGAAAAUCUUGUAUGCAAAAUAGCAGAUUUUUGGCUUAGCAAGAUUAACUGAAGACAAAUAAGUACACAGCAAGACAAGGUGCAAAAUUUCCAAUCAAGUGGACAGCUCCUGAGGCUGCACUGUAUGGUCAGAUGUGUAGUCAUUUGGAAUUCUACAGGCAGAGCUGGUAACAAAAGGAAGAGUGCCAUAUCCAGGAGUGGUAAAGCGUGAGGUGCUGGAACAAGUAGAGUCAGGGUACAGAAUGCCUUGCCCUCAGGGCUGUCCAGAAUCCCUCCAUGAAUUGAUGAGUCUUUGCUGGAAGAUGGAUCCUGAUGAAAGGCCAACGUUUGAAUGUAUUCAGUCCUUGGAAGACUACGUCACUGCUGCAGAGCCACAGUACCAACCAGGAGAAAAAUUGUAA
rnacentral:lncRNA from 1 species